GACGAACGCUGGCGGCGUGCCUAAUACAUGCAAGUCGAGCGAAUCAAUAGGAGCUUGCUCCUGUUGAUUAGCGGCGGACGGGUGAGUAACACGUGGGCAACCUGCCUGUAAGACUGGGAUAACACCGGGAAACCGGUGCUAAUACCGGAUAAUCCUUUUCCUCUCAUGAGGGAAAGCUGAAAGUCGGUUUCGGCUGACCCUUACAGAUGGGCCCGCGGCGCAUUAGCUAGUUGGUGAGGUAACGGCGCACCAAGGCGACGAUGCGUAGCCGACCUGAGAGGGUGAUCGGCCACACUGGGACUGAGACACGGCCCAGACUCCUACGGGAGGCAGCAGUAGGGAAUCUUCCACAAUGGACGAAAGCCUGAUGGAGCAACGCCGCGUGAGCGAUGAAGGCCUUCGGGUCGUAAAGCUCUGUUGUUAGGGAAGAACAAGUACCGGAGUAACUGCCGGUACCUUGACGGUACCUAACCAGAAAGCCACGGCUAACUACGUGCCAGCAGCCGCCGUAA
rnacentral:rRNA from 1 species